CGAAGGCUUUGAUUGGGCCUUGUA
rnacentral:siRNA from 1 species